GCCUGGAUAGCUCAGCUGGUUAGAGCGUGGUACUGAUAAUGCCAAGGUUGCAGGUUCGAACCCUGUAUGGGACA